AUUGAACGCUGGCGGCAGGCCUAACACAUGCAAGUCGAGCGGAGCGGCGGACGGGUGCGUAAUGCCUAGUAAUCUGCCUGGUAGUGGGGGAUAACGUCCGGAAACGGGCGCUAAUACCGCAUACUAUCAGAUGAGCCUAGGUCGGCUUAGCUAGUUGGUGGGGUAAAGGCCUACCAAGGCGACGAUCCCUAGCUGGUCUGAGAGGAUGACCAGCCACACUGGAACUGAGACACGGGCCAGAGUCCUACGGGAGGCAGCAGGGGGGAAUAUUGCACAAGGGGCGAAAGCCUGAUGCAGCCAUGCCGCGUGUAUGAAGAAGGCCUUCGGGUUGUAAAGGACUUUCAGCGGGGAGGCGUUACCCGCAGAAGAAGCACCGGCUAACUCCGUGCCAGCAGCCGCGGGAAUUC
rnacentral:rRNA from 1 species